GGUCCUUCUUGCUCAUCCCCUCCACCUCCCUUCGCUGUGUUAAACCUAGUGGCUGCCUGUGUGUGUCUGUCCCUUUGGGCUGCUUUGCAGCUGGAAACUUUAGGGGACCGACCUUCCCUGUUCUCUUUCAGUAGUCCAUUUCUUUUUUUGCGGGUGGUGGGUGUACUGGAGAUUGAACUCAGGGACACUCGACCACUGAGCCACAUCCCUGGCCCUGUUUUGUACUUUAUUUAGAGACGGUCUCACUGAGUUGCUUAGCACCUUGCUUUUGCUCUGGUUGGCUUUGAACUCAUCAUCCUCCUGCCUCAGCCUCCCGAGCUGCUGGGAUUACAGGUGUGUGCCACCAUGCCCCGCUUAGUGGUUCAUUUCUUAGGUGCUUAUUGCCCUUUCUUGGUGGAGGGUGAGGCAUUUGGCAGGUUUUGUUUUGUUUUGUUUUUGCAGUGCUGGGGAUGGAACCCAGGGCCUCACCCAUGCAGGCAUGCUCUCCACUGAGCUACAUCCCCAGCCCUUGUGUUUUUUUAUGUCAACUCAGGGCCCUUUUCCUUUUAGCACUCUAAAUGCUUAUUGACUAGCCUUCCUUGUUGACUCUGCUGAUUUCUGUUUCUCUAUCCCUGACCUGCAGAAUUUGCUGCUCCUCAGUGAUUCUUUCCUGUGGUGUCUGGGGGUUCCUUAGCAGGGAUGGUGCUUGUGAAAUGCUGCAUGCUGCACUGGAUUUUUUUUUUUUUUAGUUGAUAGACCUUUAUUUUAUUUAUACAUGGUGUUGAGAAUCAAACCCAAUGCCUCACAUAUGCCAGGCAAGGGUGCUACUGCUGAGCCCCAGCCCCAGCCCCAGAAUUUUUUUUGGCAGGUGGGUACUGGGGUUAAACUCAGGGACACUCGACCACUGAACUACAUCCCCAGCCCUAUUUUGCAUUCUAUUUAAAAACAGGGUCUCACUGAGUUGCUUAGCACCUCUUGCUGAGGCUGGCUUUGAACCCACAAUCCUCCUGCUUCAGCUUCUUCAGCCACUGGGAUUCAGGUUGCUACCACACCCAGCUGCCUAGGAGUCUUGACUGCCAGUGUCCGGAAGGAACAGGACCUCUGCCAGGCAUGGAGGACCACAUGGCUUUACCUCUCCUUUGCAGCUUCUCUGCAGGGGUGAUUUAGUUGAUUUCUGAACAAAUGCAGGUUUAGUAUUUAUUCCCUGUGGAGCGGGGGCUGCAGGACUCCUGGCACUGGAAGUGAGAGCUGAUGAUCCCUUUGCUCUAGGCCCUGUGUGUCAGAAAUUCUCAUCUUCCCAGUGCCACUUCUGCAGGGCUCUUGUUUUCUGGUUUAUGUCAACGAAGCUGCAGGUGAGCCUGCUCUACCACCCUUUUCUGUCCCUGUCCUUUCCAUGUGGUGUCCAGGAGUGGCUGUGGGACACAGGGCAUAGGUACUAUAACAAGUUCAGCUCUGGCCUGUUUCUGCUUCCCUGAGGGUAGGAAGGUGCUCCCUGCCUCCUGGAUAUCUAUUUCCUUCCACACAAACAGGCCUGAGGCCGAAGGGCAGGGCUUGGAGAGCCAUGGAGUAGUUAGUUACCCAGGAAUGCUGGGUCAGGGGCUAGGGGGGCCAGGUUGGAAUAUUGGCCAGGGGAGGGGGAACCCUCAGCUUGGAUCUAAAGGGCUGCCUUGAGCCAGGCUGGAGUGCUGAGCUAGGGCCUCCCACCUGCCACCUACAGGUCUCUUAAUGUCACUGUCCCUGGGUAGAGUGGCCUUCUAGCUGUUUCCUUCCACACACCAUGUGUCACAUUGGAAGUCUUUCCUAUUCACAGUAGCUCCUGGUAGGGUGGUAGCUGAGUGCCCACUGGCAGCUCCCUGACUUCCUAGGGGAGGUGCCUAGCCCCCAGUGUAGGGGAGCUGAAGGGCCAUUCUGACCAAGCCUCCACUUGAGGAGAGGACUGCAUGCUACCUGGCUUUAGGUUGGCCCAGGGUUGCUUUCCUCCAGCUGUGGCCAGAUUAUGCAUUGGUCUCAGAGCCACAGGACACCACACACCAAGGAAGGGGCAAAAGAAGAGAGCCAUCCUGAGUUUCUAUGGUAACGCCACUACACUGCUAACGAUCUGACUUAGGUGUCUCCUGCUUUUGUGUCCCUGGAACUCAAAAGGAGUAAGAACCAGAUGCUGUGGUACAUACCUGUAAUCCCAGCGAUUUGUGAGACUGAGUCAAGAGGAUCCCACGUUUGGGCCAGCUUCGGCAACUUGAUAAGACCCUGCCUCAAACAAUAAAGACCUGGGGGUACAGCUCAGUGGUAGGUCAUCCCUGGGUUCAAUCACUAGUACCCAAAAAGGAAAGAGGAGGAAGGUGGGUUAUAGUUCCCUUGGUGGAACUAUAACAGGGAGGACUCCAUCCUAGGGGAACUCUUCCCACCCAAACUUCUGUGUCCUUUUUAUUUUUGUAGUUGUAGAUGGACAGCAUGCCUUUAUUUAUUUUAAAGUGAUGCUGAGGAUCGAACCCAGUGCCUCACAUGUGCUAGGCCAGUGCUCUGCCCCGGAGCCCCAGGCCCCCAAAGUUCUGUGUCUUGAGUAACUGCUCACUGUGGGAAGCCAGUGGCUGUAGACAGGCCCUUCAGGCCCUGGUCUGGAAGGCCCAUGGUGAGCCUGUGUUCUCCCCUGGGCCAGCUCUACCAGCAUAUGUGGGCCUGGGGGUGAAUGAUGAUAGGUUUGAGGACAAGAUGGAGGAUUUAGAGAUCAGGUGACCUACUGUGCUUUAACCCUGUCCUCAUUGGUCUUCUGUGGCCACCAGGCUGGAAAUCUAGUCACUUUUCAUUGAUCUCUUAUCCCCAACCAAAACAGAGGCCCCAGAGGAAUACCUUAUGGGGAAAGCAAGGCUUCAUACUCUGAGUGGCAUUUUGUGUCCCUGUCUGGAUGUUUGCCUGGUGUGCACACUGUGGGAGGGAGACUGUGGUCACCAUAUAGUUGUCAUGUUUGCAAUCGGGGGCUGGGAGAUGGGAGACUCAGGUGUGAGGCCUGGCACAGCCAUUUACAGAUAGAUGACCUUGGACCUGUCAUUUAGUCUCUCUGACCUUUAGUUUUCAGGACUGCAAAGUGAAGAUGUGGCAGACAGAAUAAUGUCCCAGCUCUACUUCCGGGAAUUGGUGAAUAGGUUAUCUUACAUGGCAAAUGUGAUUUUGCUGCCAGCCUUAGUGGCCCACUCUUGUGAUCCCAGGGACUCAGGAAGCUGAGGCAGGAGGAUUGCAAGUUUGAGACUGGCUUUAGUAAUUAAGUGAAGGCCUAAGCAACUUGGUGAGACCCUGUCUCAAAAUAAAAAUAAAAGGGGCUGGGGAUGUAGUUCAGUAGUAAAGCGCCUUCAGGUUCACUCCCCAGUACAAAAAAGAAAAAAAUAAAGUGAUUUUGGAGAUGUGAUUAAGGUUAAGGACCUUGAUGGAGAUUAACCCUGGAUCACCUGAGUGGGCUCAAGGUGAUCACCAGUCCUGACCUGCAAAAGAUCCUGCCUGACCUUACUGGUUGGAGAAUGAAGGAAGUGGCCUCUAAGAACUGGGAACAGCCCUCAGUUUACAGCCAGCAAGACUAUGGGGACCUCAGUCCUACAGCUCCGAGGAACUGAAUUCUGCCAACCUGGGGUGUAAGUAGUAGAUUCUUCUUUAGAGGUUCUAGACAGAACAGCUUCCCUGCCUCUUGAUUUGAGUUUGGUGAAAUUUAGACUUCUGAUUACCAGAACUGUAAGAUAAUAAACUUGUGUCAUUGUAAGCCACUGAGUUUGUGGUGAUUUCUUACGGCAACGAUGAGGAAAGUGAUAAAUCUGCCCUCUGAAGGAUCUGGGCUGAUUACCUUCAGUGAUAGAAAAUGAACUGAAUGCUAUGCAUUCACAGGAAGAUGAGUGACCCAAGAAGAAUGUGAGGGUUUGAGUUGGGAUUGGGAAGCUCUCCCUGUCACCUCUGCCCCUUGGCUUGCUUUCUGCCUCAGGUGACCUACAUUCCACUCAGCUGCCGCACCUCAAACACAAACCCUGCUCAGCCCCAUCAUCUUGGCCACUGCAGUGAUGACAGUCUCCCUAGACCAUGAUUUUAGGACCAGCUGUCUGUGGGCCACUGUAGGCCCACCAGUGGCCAUUCAUGACCCUGUGGGGACCUGACUUCCAAGUCCCCUGGGGAAAGACUGCCCGUCCUUUGUCUUUGGUCAAGGUUCUUGGUUGUCUGUGGCUUCCUGUGAGGACUGUGGCUAUCAAGGAUGCACAUGGCAUCCCUACCUUGGUCUACUCAGCAUGGCCCCUGUCCUGUAAGGUGGAAGGGGGUUGGGUGUCUCUGAAUGAGCUGUUCUGUACACUUUCUCUGUGGCUGAGGUUUCAUAGUUCUUGGGUCCCAAUGUGGGGCCUCCUCUCCCUGCAUCUAACAGAAUCCUGCGGACAUGGAUGUGGGGCUCAUGGACUAAUUCCAACCAGCAGCCUGAUCGGCCGUGGCCUUGCGCUGCGUAUUUGGUUAUAGGCCUUUGGCAGUCAGGGCCCAUGGCACAUGACCAUUUGUGGUGGCAUAUUGGGAAGCAGAGACAAACGUCUGGGUCUUUUGCCAGGGACUCCUGGUAUAUCUGCAGGUGGGUUUAAGAUGCUUCAGGAUAAAGGGUCAAAAUCCCAAAGUGGUGAAA
rnacentral:lncRNA from 1 species